rnacentral:lncRNA from 1 species
UUUGCUGACUACGUCUUGAAAGUUGAAGGCUAUGCGGAUUCUGGAGGCAUCCCACAGGAACCUGCAGCACUGCUGCAAGCUGGAGAGCACCACUAUAAAGCACCUUAUCUGCGUGCUUUUACAGAGGCUUGCAGCAAGAGGGAUAUCAAGAACACGGGAGAUAUCAAGACCACAUUAUAGCCACUGCUUGAUUGUGGCUUCUGAGGGCAUGUAUGUAAGGGUUGGAAAAUAAACA